rfam:Desulfitibacter sp. BRH_c19 BRHa_1003991, whole genome shotgun sequence.
UAGGGCGAUAGCAAACUCUCCGACGCACAAUCAGGCCACGAAAAAACUUUAACAACCCUUUUACCAGCAUUGGCAGGUGCCAAUAUGAUUUACGGUGGGG